UACGUAGGGGGCAAGCGUUGUCCGGAUUUAUUGGGCGUAAAGAGCGUGUAGGCGGCCAGGUAGGUCAGCUGUGAAAACUCGAGGCUCAACCUCGAGCUGUCGGCGGAAACCAUCUGGCUAGAGUCCGGAAGAGGAGAGUGGAAUUCCUGGUGUAGCGGUGAAAUGCGCAGAUAUCAGGAAGAACACCUAUGGCGAAGGCAGCUCUCUGGGACGGUACUGACGCUGAGACGCGAAAGCGUGGGGAGCGAACAGG
rnacentral:rRNA from 1 species